AAUUCGCAGAAUGACUGGAUUAGUUGGAACUUGAACUAGUAGUUACAUUGACAAGAAUCAUUUUUAUUUUUAUUUCUUGCAUUUGGUCAUGUUUCUGAUUCUGAUUUUUUUUAUUACCCUAGUGGGUACAGAUACGACUGCUGGACAAGACUGCAGAGUUCGGGGGCAAUAUUGUAUAGAUGAUGCAGUUUGUUGUGGUGGCUGUUGUUGGGAUAAUACCUGCACGAAUACUUAUGGACCGUGCUAUCUCCGCGAAAAUCCCUGCCGCAGUCAUUACUGCUCACCCGGAACGGACUGUUACCUCUAUAAACCGGCAUGUGAGGGAUGCGAGGCUGUUCCUGCCUGUCGGGAGUGGAUUCAAUGACAUAAAAUUGAAUUAAAAAGGCCCGAAUACAAUGCUGUCGCAAGUGUCCCAGAGACAUCUUCAAAUACUCAAAAACGUUUUCUCAAGUGGCACAUCGGUGAAAGAUCACAGGAACUAUUCGCAUCGUGUUACUUUUGGUUUCGUUAUCUUACCCGCAGCAACGAGGGUGAACUUGAAAUUACACAGCCGGUUGAGCAUUAUCCCCCUCUCCUUCGCCCUUGAGCUUUCUCAGGGAACAUUUUGGGGGAGAAAGAUUUUGUCAUCAACUUUUGAUCAUGGCUUUGUUAUUGAAUUUGUUUCCCCAAUUUUUCGUAACAAAAAUGGUUAUUUUUUUAUUUUAUAAUCGAUACAUUUUUAAUUUAUUUACUGCAUUUUUUUAGUCGGGUCGCCUGUCUCUUUCUCGUUGUAGCCUUUUGUGUAUGCGUUGAAACCCUUCCAAUUUUUUAUACUACGAAUUUUCUUUAGUUCUUUGUAGUAU